UUAUGUAUAUAUGAUAUGUACAGGGGUGGGAUCUGACAGGGUUAACUACCAGUUCGGUGAUUUACGAGGUUCAGUGAUUUAUAAUGUGUUUCCCUGCAUGCUGUGUGGGCGCCUGUAAAUUGUAUCAGCUUGCUACCUGGACAGCUGAACAGCGCUGAGUGCAGAGAAGCAGCGUUUGAAACAGCACUUUUUCCCUGCUUUUGCAACUGCAGCUGUGCGUCUCACAGCAGCUGAGGUUGAAAAAGCAGGAAAUAAAGGUCAGGUA